UCUGGAUGCUUGAUUCUAAGUCCCAUUCCCAUGUCAGGUGAAGGAUGCCUGACAUGAGAAUGGGACUUAGGAUUAAGUGUCA
rnacentral:miRNA from 1 species